AUGUAUAAUUUGAAGUGUUAAUGAUCUAUUUUUAUUGUUAUAGACCCCGAGGAACAAGUUCCAGAGGUCGAUCAAGGAAAAUGAAAGGUUUCGAAAUAACCGAAACACAACACCGAAACGGAUACCAGAGCUCGAGGACUCAUAAAGAUUGGAAGACGGUUGGAGAGUCAGCAUACUAUCAAAUAGACCAGCUUUGGUAUAAAGGAAUGUAUAGGUCUUUUGAGUAUUUUUUUAUAUGUGUCAUUUGAUUUGCCAAAUGAAGGCUUGUAAAGAUAAACCUAUCUUUUUGUUUAUGGCCAUAGAGAUCGGCUUGUUUUGAAGUAGGCUAUGACCUACAAAA